AGCUCAAUUCAAUUGCACUG
rnacentral:miRNA from 1 species